AGGACGAACGCUGGCGGCGUGCUUAACACAUGCAAGUCGAACGGUGAAGAGGAGCUUGCUCCUUGGAUCAGUGGCGAACGGGUGAGUAACACGUGAGCAAUCUGCCCUUGACUCUGGGAUAACUGCGGGAAACUGUAGCUAAUACCGGAUACGACCUUGGAAGGCAUCUUCUGGGGUGGAAAGAAUUUUGGUCAAGGAUGAGCUCGCGGCCUAUCAGCUAGUUGGUGAGGUAAUGGCUCACCAAGGCGACGACGGGUAGCCGGCCUGAGAGGGUGACCGGCCACACUGGGACUGAGACACGGCCCAGACUCCUACGGGAGGCAGCAGUGGGGAAUAUUGCACAAUGGGCGCAAGCCUGAUGCAGCAACGCCGCGUGAGGGACGAAGGCCUUCGGGUUGUAAACCUCUUUUAGUAGGGAAGAAGCGACUGGGUUUUCCUGGGAGUGACGGUACCUGCAGAAAAAGCACCGGCUAACUACGUGCCAGC
rnacentral:rRNA from 1 species